CAGGGGUGGUAUAGUACGUCAUCAACAGGUGCGCGCAACACUUCCCGAUGCGGCUAUUUUAUGUCAAAACAUCUCGAUUCGGUACAUGAAAGAUGAAAAAGGAAACAAAACUUCUAGUCUGCAUCAAUGGAAUUGUCAAUAUAUGUUAAAAAGGAUUGCUGAGUGAUUUGAGAAGUGGAGAACAUCCUCUAACGGAAUUACCCCAGACAAGGAUUUCAACGCUCAACUAGGUCUCCGUACCAAACUUUGUCACGAUUAUGUCGGUUGCUGUUUGAAGGGCCACGUGGUCAUCACAAUUGCUCGGGAAAAAAUGAGAAAUUACUGUAUCGCGCCAACGAAAUGUUCUUAUUAAGGAGUUUUAGAUGUGCGCAGGGAAAGACCAAGAGUGACUACAACCGAAUUAUAAUUACCACGUAGUAGAAUGGGACAUUGAAUCUACACUAGAAAGCGGUUGAGGAUUUAACAUUUUACUAAUGUUCAGAUUUUGCUUGCAAAUCUUAGUGCACCCAAUUACAUGUUAAAACUCGAAGUGAGCUUGAACAGUGGUAGAACAAUUUUACCUGCAAUGUAAAUUACUUUGCUUUUCUUAAACUGUUUAGUUGUUGAAAAUGUUGUUGU